rnacentral:lncRNA from 1 species
UCACCGAUGAUGCUGAGCGCCUCCUUCAGCGCGUGGUGCAUGUGCAGCAUCUCGUCGUGCUGCUGUGCCUGCUCUGCCAACUCCUCCAUCAGUGUGUUCUGGUUCCCACAUGAGUACAUAUUGGCCAGCGGCUCCGAGAUGAUGAACUCCGGGGUCUGAGAGUGGGCAAACAGGGAAGAAGGUUGGGACCUGGUGCCUGUGCCGCCCUGGCUGCCUUGCUGGGCCCUUCUGGGACUGUGCGCUGGACUUGGAGCCCCUUGGAGUAUGGCUUUUCACACGGGCUUCUAUACCGCUUCGAC